UUUUCAAAUGUUACUCCAGAAUUGUUCAGCCUACGGGUCCAUCACAUUUUGAAGAUAGACGAGUGCACCGCCCACUGACAGUUCACUCGGGCCGCGAAUUAUGACACCGCAGCGGGGUCGACUCUGAGCAACUUCUACCCAGCUGAAAAUUUGUUUAUGUUAUUGCAUCUAGUUUCGCGAUGAAGUUGCAAAAAUAUGGGCUAGUGCAUUAACUAUAUGCACUAUAGCCACCGACGAACCGACUUGACAGUGGUGUUUCAAAAGUGUCCCCCCCUCAAUUUAACGGUCGACCAGCAAAGCGAGCGAACGCUUCUGUCAAAUCAGCACAGACGCGAACCUUCUCCUAUAUGAACACACGGGGGUUUGGGGUCAAGCAAGCAAAUCAACGCGAACCUUUGUAGAGGUGGCGAUAGAGUUCGGCUAUUUUUCAUCAUGGCGUCGCGGACAACAAAUUUGAAUUUGCUUGUUCUAGCUGUCACGUCGGUUCGUCGGUGUGUGAUGAAUUAGCAUUAAGUUAAAAUUCACAAAUACAAAGAAAUUUAAAAAACCCUAAUUAAUCCACCUAGCGGUGAUGGUGCCUUUCUCGUGCUUUAAAAUAUCCUUUCAACAAAACUCGAGCGACAUGUUGAUGACAUUGACAUAAAUACAAAAUGAAAACUGCUUGCUAAAUCUACUCAAUAUGGAUACAUUUUAUAUUAGCAUAACAUCCAAUAUUCAGAAAAUAUAAGACAACGAUCCAAAACUUAAACCAAACAAGUGUCAUGAAGCCGCAAUCUUUGAAACGUCAUUUUAGAUUUUCCGGUCAUCAUUUAAUGACUCCGGAUAUCUACCCCAACUAAACUAACCGCCAUCUUGAACAUUGAAACACCAUCUUGGAUGUUCUGGUAUUCAUUUUUGGACUCUGCAAUUAAAAUUACAUAAAAUCUGGAGCUCGAUUUGAAUAGGUCGUAUAUGCUUUUGUCGAUAUAAAAUUCGAUCAGUUUAUUUUAGUCAUUGUAGCAAUAUGGCAGAUAUUUUGCAAACUUUCAAUGAUGGAACAGAAAGCCUGUUUUGUGAGGAUUCUGCUGUUUGUAUCAACUUUGCUCAAUUUCAACGAUUUUCGCUAUAAUAAGCGAAUCCAACUGAUCGAAUUUUUAAUCGACAAAAGCACAUACGACCUAUUCAAAUCGAGCUCCAGAAAUAGUCGCCGUAUUGAAUUUUGGCAUGUCGUUUAUGAUUUUCUGGUUACCAGUUUUGGACGAAGACCGGCAUUCUUCCCCAUUCAAACUAUAUUCAUAUUGCAGACCUUGUGAAACAGCGCACAGCUUGGGUUUUCUGAUUACAAAUUUUGAAUUCUGAACAUAUUUUCAUACAAAAUAUGCCCAUAAUGCAAGAAUUAAAAAUCCUAUAAAAUAGGCACUAACUUGAAUACUGGGCCCAGGGGGGGCGACACUGGCUAAGUCGUGAUUCUUUUCAUUGGUUUUAUCCGGUUAUUUUAGCCUAGUGUAGGUUUCGUUGGAUUAUGCAACUUGCAGAGGCUUAUCCCUCGAUAUGAAAACUUCGAAGGGUUCCGUCGUGGUGGUGCAUCUUUUCAGCGGAUAUUUUGGUUGAAAAAGCUUUUUUGCUUUUGAAGUAUACCAUAGCAUUUCAAAAGGGCUUUACUCAUGUAAUCACAUUUUAAACUUUAAACUCAAAUUGGUUUAAUCAAACAAAUGUAGUUCACGUCGAUUGUAUGAUUAAAUAGUACAACAAUGUGACAAACAUUUUAUUUGACACAUGCGACGAUAAGCAACACAUGAAAUGCCAUUAAAUAUUGCGAGAAUAUAAAAACGUAAUAAUGAUAAUAAUUCUUGGUUUUGUUCAUCAUUGUUAGAUACGUCGUAUUGAAAACUUAUGCUUAGAUUUGUCGUGUUUAUCUUCCACCUCCUCAAUAAUAAACAUCACUUUGUUCGACAACGAACCACGAUUUAGUUUCAAAAAGUGAAACAACUUGUUGCAGAACGGAAUAUUUCACAGCAGCUGGUUUCAUUUUGCUCUACGAUUUCCUGGUGCUGUUUGGAGCCAGCUUGAAUCGCCGCUGGGACAGCAAUCCGCGGGCAAAUCUAAGCGCGAAGGUAAAUCUAAGACGGACACGGAAGAACCGGCAGUGAAGGAUGAGAGUUCCAACGUCUCAGGUUGCAACCAAAGAAAGUCAUCGGAAGGGCUGCUGGAGAAGCUGGUCCAGGAGGAAUCCGCUGGGGUUAAGAAGGAGAAGGAUGAAAUAAAGAGAGUCGGAGAUGAUGAACGAGCUGCUGGACAGUCCGAGCGGAUGAUUCAGAAGAUGGAGCGUGAUAUCGAGUAGAUCAAUCGGAUGUCGCCAGAAGGCGAUGGCGUGGAUGUGCCGUUGAGCCCGGAAUAAUUGGAUGCAUUCGACAGAACAAUGAUGAUUCUCAAUCGUAUUCAAGUGGAUAAACUCCAGGGGCACAAACAGAUGAUGGAAGCGGACAUAUGGGUCACCCGCUGGCACGGAGUCCUGGGCCAAAGUUGGGGUGCCGAAUAGUUGCGAAACGGGGCUGGAUUUCUACCAAAAGGUGGCGAAUCAAGUGACGUUUUACGGCGGAGCAGACGAUGAAGAUGAGUCCGACUUGGAGGACUACUCGGAAACGUCUGAGGAGGGCGAUAGUGGCAUUGGUGGAGAUUUGAGAUCGGAUGAAGAAUCUGGAAAGGAUUGGUCCGAUCUGAAACAGGAGGCUGCGAGGAGGACCGCAACCGCGACAAGGAUGAUUACGUGGGCGGCCGGACAUCGUCAAAAAAAGGUCCCAUCAUAGGUAAGUAACAUAUCGACACUGAUUUUUCAUAAGGGCCAAUGUCGCAAUAUUAUGAUGUAAAUUCACCCGGCUGAUGUUGGUUGCAAACAAUCCCCUUAGGGGAGAAUAGGGAUGUCAUCUACGUAGAUGUGUACGUGUGUAAGGGUCGAUUUAUUCACUCCCGCUUAAGCGUUAACCUGGCUUAACUAUAUGGGUAAGCCUGGCUUACCGGUUAAGCGGAGAUGAAGAAAUCUACACUAAAUUGCUAUAUGCUAGAUUCUUUUUGCUUGCUAACACUGCAUAAUUUAUUGAACGCAUGCCGUUUUCAGACGAGAUCGAGAAUGGGCGUAGUAUUUGUAUUUGUAUGUUUAUUCGUAACGUUAGUUGAAUUGUUUUGCUUCUAUCACAUUGUUUUAUGUGUUUGUGUUGUUUCCGUCUCUGAAAAGAUUUUAUUUUUUGUCCAACGUUUCGGUCAUUGUGAGGACUUCUUCAGGAACUCAUUUACUGUUACACCUAUUUAAAUUUUCAAUUCAAAGAUCUUAAAUCGAACCCUCUAUCUCUCUUACCAAGUUCGAUCAAGAGCAGCAGCCGCGCAAGCACAGCAAGGAUAAGCACCCCAGCAGCGGCAGGAAGCAGUAAGCACCACAGCAGCAACCACAGCGACAAACACAAGAGCAGUAGCAACUGCAGUAGUAAUAAAACGAUCGUGCGACGAAAGCAGGGACAACUCGCACCAUCACAAGAGCAAAAAGUCCAAGAAAUAAAAUGAGGGAAGUGACGCAUGACAUAACUUCCGGUCGCGGAUCCGUUCG